CGUUGCAACAAGUUUGCAAACUUAAUUGUCAGACCGCGUAGACUUGACUAGUUUCCAUAUGCAAGUCAGAAGAUUGGGCUACCUCAGAGUGGCCCAUGGGACUUUUUCAACUACCUAGGUGCAGCACUCACCACCCUGACUCUGACUCAUUUGGCCUGGGGUGGAGUUCUUUUUUGUGGUACCCCACAUGGCUAAUGCAUUGGACCUGCUGGACAAGAUGAGUGAUAAUUCCUAGACAGGCUGGGCUGCAUGGCUUCUGAAAGCAAGACCUAUCCAAUAACAGCAAGUGAACUGAGGGUAUCACUUUCUAGUCUGCAAACUCUACAUCAUCAUUAUCAUCUAAAAGGCCCCUGAAGCAGGGUCUUCUGGUCCAGAUUUUCCCCGAAAGUACAACUAUAAACUCUGGAAACAACAGAAGGCACAAACAAAGGAGAACUUACAAAGUGGUAAGAAGAAGGCAUUCAAGGAUAGCAUUUGCUAUGUCCUCUCCACGCAACAAUCCCAGAAGUUCUCUCGGACCCGCAGAUGCUAUAUACCGCACAUAAAGGCAAAGUUGGGCUGUGUCCUUGAUGUCGCGUGACUCAUCUACCAGAAUUGAUAACGCUGAAGCUAAUUUAAUGUUAUAGACUUGUUGGUCACAUUUGAGGACGUUUUAACUGUCCUACCUGCUACUGUUUUGGCAAAUAACGGUAUGUUUUUAUUUUUAUUUAAAAUUUCUGCUUUGUUUUUGAAAUCCCGAAAAAGUUCUUCAGAUGCAUUAACAAAACAACAUUUUAUGCAUUCACCAUCUGUGAAUGGUUUUCCUCUCUUAGCAAUCUCCUGACUUGCUACGAAGUUUGCAAUCUUAACAUUAUUGGCAGACUGUCUCCAAUAAUUAAAUACAGAACUUAAUUUUUCAACAUUUUUCUGAAGUUCUUCAACUGCU